GAUGAACGCUGGCGGCGUGCCUAAUACAUGCAAGUCGAGCGAACAGACGAGGAGCUUGCUCCUCUGACGUUAGCGGCGGACGGGUGAGUAACACGUGGAUAACCUACCUAUAAGACUGGGAUAACUUCGGGAAACCGGAGCUAAUACCGGAUAAUAUAUUGAACCGCAUGGUUCAAUAGUGAAAGACGGUUUUGCUGUCACUUAUAGAUGGAUCCGCGCCGCAUUAGCUAGUUGGUAAGGUAACGGCUUACCAAGGCAACGAUGCGUAGCCGACCUGAGAGGGUGAUCGGCCACACUGGAACUGAGACACGGUCCAGACUCCUACGGGAGGCAGCAGUAGGGAAUCUGCCGCAAUGGGCGAAAGCCUGACGGAGCAACGCCGCGGGAGUGAUGAAGGUCUGCGGAUCGUAAAACUCUGUUAUUGGGGAAGAACAAAUGUGUAAGUAACUAUGCACGUCUUGACGGUACCUAAUCAGAAAGCCACGGCUAACUACGU
rnacentral:rRNA from 1 species